rnacentral:lncRNA from 1 species
CUUAUUCAACAAUGGCUGACAAUGUCAGGCAAUGUGAGGAGAGGUGUGUGUGUGUUUAUACACACAGAGUCCAACCUCAGGGCCAGGUCUUGCUCAUGUCAGCCUGGUCCCGCUGUCUCCCCCGUGUGUGAGGUUCUGCUGUUUUAACAUGAGCCUAGUCCAGGAACCAAGGGGCAGCCAUUCCCAUCUGCUAGGCUUUGUCCUGGGCUCUGGAGAGAGAGAUGGCUAGGACACUGACCUGUCUGUGAGACGCUCAUGGUCAAGUGCAUGGCUCAGACUCAGAUGGGGAAACCUCAGUGCAGGGAGGAGCCUGCUGCAGUGACAGUAAUGAAGCCAAGUGUGCUGCCCAG